rnacentral:rRNA from 1 species
GUGGGGAAUCUUGCGCAAUGGGCGAAAGCCUGACGCAGCCAUGCCGCGUGAAUGAUGAAGGUCUUAGGAUUGUAAAAUUCUUUCACCGGGGACGAUAAUGACGGUACCCGGAGAAGAAGCCCCGGCUAACUUCGUGCCAGCAGCCGCGGUAAUACGAAGGGGGCUAGCGUUGCUCGGAAUUACUGGGCGUAAAGGGCGCGUAGGCGGACAGUUUAGUCAGAGGUGAAAGCCCAGGGCUCAACCUUGGAAUUGCCUUUGAUACUGGCGGUCUUGAGUACGGGAGAGGUGAGUGGAACUCCGAGUGUAGAGGUGAAAUUCGUAGAUAUUCGGAAGAACACCAGUGGCGAAGGCGACUCACUGGCCCGUUACUGACGCUGAGGCGCGAAAGCGUGGGGAGCAAACAGGAUUAGAAACCCGAGUAGUCC